ACAGUGUUUGUUCAGUGGUAAAAUUCUCACCUUUCACAUGGGACACCCAGGUUUGAUUCCUGGCCAAUGUG
rnacentral:tRNA from 1 species